UGAGUCUACCCGAAGGCAGAUCCCUC
rnacentral:snRNA from 1 species